rnacentral:rRNA from 1 species
AUAAUGGGUCAGCGACUUAUAUUCUGUAGCAAGGUUAACCGAAUAGGGGAGCCGAAGGGAAACCGAGUCUUAACUGGGCGUUAAGUUGCAGGGUAUAGACCCGAAACCCGGUGAUCUAGCCAUGGGCAGGUUGAAGGUUGGGUAACACUAACUGGAGGACCGAACCGACUAAUGUUGAAAAAUUAGCGGAUGACUUGUGGCUGGGGGUGAAAGGCCAAUCAAACCGGGAGAUAGCUGGUUCUCCCCGAAAGCUAUUUAGGUAGCGCCUCGUGAAUUCAUCUCCGGGGGUAGAGCACUGUUUCGGCAAGGGGGUCAUCCCGACUUACCAACCCGAUGCAAACUGCGAAUACCGGAGAAUGUUAUCACGGGAGACACACGGCGGGUGCUAACGUCCGUCGUGAAGAGGGAAACAACCCAGACCGCCAGCUAAGGUCCCAAAGUCAUGGUUAAGUGGGAAACGAUGUGGGAAGGCCCAGACAGCCAGGAUGUUGGCUUAGAAGCAGCCAUCAUUUAAAGAAAGCGUAAUAGCUCACUGGUCGAGUCGGCCUGCGCGGAAGAUGUAACGGGGCUAAACCAUGCACCGAAGCUGCGGCAGCGACGCUUAUGCGUUGUUGGGUAGGGGAGCGUUCUGUAAGCCUGCGAAGGUGUGCUGUGAGGCAUGCUGGAGGUAUCAGAAGUGCGAAUGCUGACAUAAGUAACGAUAAAGCGGGUGAAAAGCCCGCUCGCCGGAAGACCAAGGGUUCCUGUCCAACGUUAAUCGGGGCAGGGUGAGUCGACCCCUAAGGCGAGGCCGAAAGGCGUAGUCGAUGGGAAACAGGUUAAUAUUCCUGUACUUGGUGUUACUGCGAAGGGGGGACGGAGAAGGCUAUGUUGGCCGGGCGACGGUUGUCCCGGUUUAAGCGUGUAGGCUGGUUUUCCAGGCAAAUCCGGAAAACUAAGGCUGAGGCGUGAUGACGAGGCACUACGGUGCUGAAGCAACAAAUGCCCUGCUUCCAGGAAAAGCCUCUAAGCAUCAGGUAACAUCAAAUCGUACCCCAAACCGACACAGGUGGUCAGGUAGAGAAUACCAAGGCGCUUGAGAGAACUCGGGUGAAGGAACUAGGCAAAAUGGUGCCGUAACUUCGGGAGAAGG